GGGGAAAGUUUUAUAAAUACGAUUCAGCAGAAGAAACAGAACAAAUAUAGAAAUGCAUCUAAAGAAGAUGAAGACGCGCUGCUGUGGCCAGACAACGUGGCCGAAGAAGAAAAAAUUCUACAAGCUUUACAGUUCUAUAGUUGGGAGCACGUGAUGGAAGCCUUACGCCGGCGUCCGAGUGCGAGAAUCAUGGCCCAGUCGGAGCUGGGGUUUCCCUGGUCUGUUCCCUGGCUUGAACAGGGUUGCCGGGACAGCGAAAGGCGUGAAAGAAAUGCGAGAAUGAAGGGUAAUAGCGAGGAACAUCUGCGGGCAGUAAGAGAGCAUUGGCGACGAAUAUUCCUACGUUCUCCAGCAGAUCAUCUGGCCGAAGUGAAAGACGAAAAGCUGUGUAAAAUUUGUUACACAAAUGUCAUCACGCAGGUUCUAUAUCCAUGUGGUCAUUUUGUUGUUUGCAACUGUUGUGUGAAGGACUGUGAUGGUUGCCCAAUGUGUCGUUCCGUCAUAAAAAAAAUCUUGCCAGUGUAUUUUUGUUAAAAAAAAGAACAAGCUGUGGCUUGCUACUGAAAUUUUUUUUGUUUUAUGUUAAGCUACCAGGGGAUUGAACCCCAGACCUUAUCCUAUAAAAUUGUUUAGUUUACGAGUAAGCCACAACAUGUUCUGGUGAAAGUUGAUUAAAGUUUUGCAUCUAUUUGAUUACUUACUGGAAAUCCACAACGCACUCUGCGCAAAAGGAACCGGCAACGACGGAUUCGACCAAUAGUUAUUAAGAGCAGUUGCAUUACUACCAGCGUUAUGUAUCAGCUUUCACGGAAGCUAGUCAAACAUUCAAGUUUGUUACAGGACAUACAAGGA